UUAGGCUGAAUUUGUACACCUAUUGAUAUUUGCAAUUAUCCAACGUCACUGUCGACGAUUAAAACCCAAAAAUAGUCAAAGCGUGUAUGGAUUUCGAGCAUUCCUCUUUUACUCAGUGGGCCCUUUAAAUGCCUACUGCCCCCACAAAACCUGACGUGUAAGCCACCGAUUCGCAGACAAUUAUCGAACAGAGAGCACACUAUACUGUGUAUACGGGCAACUGGAGAUUACGUCACCUGCGGAUUGUACCCCUUCUGAUCUGACCUGAUCUGAUCUAGUGGCCAGGCUAGCUUGGAUUGUCGACCGUCAGAUAUCUUUUGCUUGGCCACAAUGGUUUGUUACUGAUUACCGAUAACAAAGACUUAACUUCGCUCACCUUUCGUACGGAAAAAUCCUGUCAUCUUCUCACUCUCACUCGCAGUUACGCCUCAUUGUUACCACAACCGCUCCCCACCGUUUAUUUCCGAUCUGACGGCUCCCGACGCAGGAUAGUUGUGUGAGGAGAAAAUCCAUGUGGGUAAGACAAAACGCAGCAUAUACGUGAUACAUAUGUUCCUCGGUGGGAGCGAAAGUGGCGGUAGGCGUUGGAUUUGGAUCUCACGGCUGAGAGAUGAGUUUAGGAGGGGUGGUGAAGGUAUUGGUAUUGGUGCCUUUGGUACUGGUGACAGUCCAAUCAGAAGUAAAGACUGGGAGACUGUGAGGGGUAAGCUUAUAGCUGGGUGACCCACGUGGUCGUAGGGGGAGUAGCCAACAGGAGAAUAACAUCAGACGGCAGGCCCGGUUCAGCUUGUUUUUAGAAAUUCAAGAAAGUUACAUUAUUUCUUAGUGUCCACGUCACACAAUAGGAAUAUAUUCUUUUCCUAUAAGAAAAUGGGAAGCUAUUUGAUCCAAUACGGGUUUCUUUUUUUCUUUCUUUUAUGGCAUGUUUAC
rnacentral:lncRNA from 1 species